GGACGGGUGAGUAAUGCUAGGAAUCUGCCUAGUGGUGGGGGAUAACGUUCGGAAACGGACGCUAAUACGCAUACGUCCUACGGGAGAAAAGCGGGGGGAUCUUCGGACCUCGCGCCAUUAGAUGAGCCUAGGUCGGAUUAGCUAGUUGGUGAGGUAAUGGCUCACCAAGGCGACGAUCCGUAACUGGUCUGAGAGGAUGAUCAGUCACACUGGAACUGAGACACGGUCCAGACUCCUACGGGAGGCAGCAGUGGGGAAUAUUGGACAAUGGGCGAAAGCCUGAUCCAGCCAUGCCGCGUGUGUGAAGAAGGUCUACGGAUUGUAAAGCACUUUAAGUUGGGAGGAAGGGUAGUAACCUAAUACGUUGCUACUUUGACGUUACCGACAGAAUAAGCACCGGCUAACUUCGUG
rnacentral:rRNA from 1 species